CAAUAGCGUAUAUUAAAGUUGUUGCAGUUAAAAAGCUCGUAGUUGGAUUUGUGGCUGUCACGGGCGGCCUAUCACUUAGUGUUAGUGCUUGCCUGUGUCGCCAUCCUUGGGUGGAGCCCGUGUGGCAUUAGGUUGUCGUGCGGGGGAUGCCCAUCGUUUACUGUGAGAAAAUUAGAGUGUUCAAAGCAGGCUUAUGCCAUUGAAUAUGUUAGCAUGGAAUAAUAAGAUAGGACCUCGGUACUAUUUUGUUGGUCUGCGCACCGAGGUAAUGAUUAAUAGGGACAGUUGGGGGUAUUCGUAUUUCAUUGUCAGAGGUGAAAUUCUUGGAUUUCUGAAAGACGAACUACUGCGAAAGCAUUUACCAAGGAUGUUUUCAUUAA
rnacentral:rRNA from 1 species